GAUGAACGCUGGCGGCGUGCCUAAUACAUGCGGGUCGAGCGAACAGACGAGGAGCUUGCUCCUCUGACGUUAGCGGCGGACGGGUGAGUAACACGUGGAUAACCUACCUAUAAGACUGGGAUAACUUCGGGAAACCGGAGCUAAUACCGGAUAAUAUAUUGAACCGCAUGGUUCAAUAGUGAAAGACGGUUUUGCUGUCACUUAUAGAUGGAUCCGCGCCGCAUUAGCUAGUUGGUAAGGUAACGGCUUACCAAGGCAACGAUGCGUAGCCGACCUGAGAGGGUGAUCGGCCACACUGGAACUGAGACACGGUCCAGACUCCUACGGGAGGCAGCAGUAGGGAAUCUUCCGCAAUGGGCGAAAGCUUGACGGAGCAACGCCGCGUGAGUGAUGAAGGUCUUCGGAUCGUAAAACUCUGUUAUUAGGGAAGAACAAAUGUGUAAGUAACUAUGCACGUCUUGACGGUACCUAAUCAGAAAGCCACGGCUAACUACGUG
rnacentral:rRNA from 1 species